rnacentral:lncRNA from 1 species
UUCGGGAGGCAUUGCAAAAUGUGGAAGCUUACCUUCAAUGUAGUCUUUCAAAAUCUGCCUAGCAGCUCUCGUCUCAUCAGGCAGUCCACUAGCGGCAACGUACCCACGAGACAGGCAGUAAGUUCUAAGAAGCUCCGAGGCAAGAGGUGGACGGAACCGAGACUCAUAGCUUUUGGGUUUAGGCAAAGAGAUGUUGUACACUCCCUCGAUAACAUCUCGAGGAACACGUUCAGCCACAACCUUAACAGCUUCGCGGUGCUCCGUCAUCCUGUCUAUCGGAAGCACUCCGCAAGCGAUCAUUUCGUAUCUCGAACUCGAGAACGAAGGGAAGACCAGACCGGGGCAAUCGCAGAGCAUCAGCUCCUCGGAGAUGAUCAAUGUCUGGAAGUGCUUUGUCUUCCCUGGGGUGGAUGUGACGCCUGUCCGCUUCUGACCCACCAGUGCAUUGAUCGUUGAACUCUUCCCCACGUUAGGGUACCCAACGAAGCCGACCACAACACGUUCUCGGUGCGAAUACGCAGAAGCUUUCCUCCUUUUCGCUAUCUCCUGAGCCUCGAGUUUUAACCGAUCCAGAAGCUCGUCUCUUCCGUAUACUUUAACGGAAGGAUCAUCUGUGUUGUGUGAGGUUUCAGGUGAUGUCGUCCACUUUUCUUUUAAGGGUUUGCCUUCUAAGGUAGCAGUAGCAGCUUUGGCUGACCAGAAGACGAAUAAAAUGUUGUUGCGGGUGAAGUAGUCCGCCCACUUCUCCCUGUGUUAACAAUCCAAAUUGGUUAGCCAAAAUAAAAAGAGGUUAGAGAAAAAGAGGCAAGGGGCAAGUUUACCUGACGUAAGGAGGUAAGAGAUCCGCCUUGUUUACAAGAAGCAUUGUUUCUUUAUGCUCAUCAAUUUCUCGUGCAUAUGCCUGUAAAUGAUUGGUGGAUCAAUGAAAACUCUAUUAAGAGAAAGCUGCAAGUUGGCAGAGAGAGAGAGAGAGAGAGAGAGAGUUACCUCAAGAUCAGGGCAACGGUAAAACAGAGGAUCUCUAGCAUCAACAACCAUAACAAUCUGAAAGAGAAGUAAAAAAAGAGCCAAUUAUAUUCCGAAAUGAACUUAACCCAUUCAAAUGGGCUCUAGGAGGCGAAAAUGGCAUACCAAAUCACUUCGUUCAAGAACUCGCCAAAGUUGUCUCCAUAUGUCAAGGUUCUUCUCGAAUGGUGUCAGCACAAGCUUUUCAUUUUCCUCGAGGCUGAUUGAAUGCAGGAAAACAAAUAGGUAUGCUUUAAGUGUAUAUCACCAUGUCCCCAAGGAGAAUUGCACAUAAUAAAAUCAAACCACGCAUCUAAAACAGCAGCAAAAUAACAUCUUGAAUGAGCUAUAACUGUUUUGUUACUCUAUUCCAAAAUAUUGAACUUACAAAUGCAUUCCCAAAGAAGUUCAGAUUCUCAAAGGCUAUUUAGAGAUAAGAACACAAACUCAUAGCAUAAGAGCCAAAUUUAUCCACAAUAAUAACAAACAAACAAAAAAAAUCAUUCUCAACUAAAGCAAUCAUGGUUAUAGCGAUGGCUAAAAGAUUGCAGUUUUGUAUCUCAUUUGUAUACACUGAUGCAAGUAUGAAUUCUUCACAACUUUCUCAUCCUUUUAACCAUUCGUUUUCUUAAUACACAAACAUUGUAGCAAAGCAUUUGAACACUUUGCAUAUGAUUAAUCCCAAAUUCUACUAACAACAACAACAACGAAGAAGAAGAAGAAGAUAGAGAACCCUUUAGAUGAGGUGAAAACAGAACAAACCUGACAAGUUUGCGGCGCCAAGAGAGAAAAGCUUGUUUUUCAUUAGCAUCAAGUUGUUCCACAUUCAUUUUAGGCGUCCAAGGAGGUCUGAAUAUUAACAAAUAGAACAUCACUAAACCGAACAGACUCUAUAUUGACUCCAUAACAACAACCCAAAGAAGCAAAAGAGACCUUCUAGGAACUUGAAGACUACUAGCAUGUAAAGCCUCCUCUCUCAUCCGCUGCUCUUUCCACUCUUUAGCCGUUACACCACUCGAGCUCGAACCUGCGUCCCUGUUUUUCACCAAAACGAAAGAAGAAGAUCAACAACAACACACUAGAGAGAAAGGAUUCAAAAUCGAUCUUACAUAUUGAUGGGGAGAGGCGUUGCGGAUUCGUGAUGAAUAGCGUAAAGACGCUCAGCUUCCUCGGCUUGCUCGAUGAUGGCGUCGAUGUCGCUGACCUCCGUGACGGAUUCGAGAACCUUCUUGUUUUGGGACUUGUAGUGUUUCCCUUUAUCCUUGGUUUCCUGGAUCGCGUGGUUGUGGUGCUUCACUAGGGAUCGGCCUAGAGAUGUCUUCUCGUUCUUCCCCAUUUUCGGAUUUUUGGCGGAGAUUGGAGGAAAGAUUGAUUGAACGAUCUUUUUGUGUGUUUCUCGAAAGAGAUAUUUCAAUGUUCGUAAAGGCUCGUCGUGUGAAGCCGACGGAUGUAGCCGCCGUGUGGGGCGAAAUUUAAUAAAAAAAGUAAAAUGUAGGGUUCGAAGGGUAAUUACUCAAUACUGCAAACGGUUUACUUACCCUUGUUGUUCGGGUUUAUUUCAAUUGUCCGGUUUAAUCAUCUCGUUUUGCAAUUCCGGUCUGUUUGAUUGGAGCAGUGCAAUGUGUUUGUGGUGCUUCACUAGGGUCUCUUCAUCUCUUUCUCUCUAUCAUCAUUAUCUUUAUUUCUUUUAAGCCAUCUAAUUAAUUUUUGGUUUAUCCAUCUUUGAAAACUUCGGUGAGUUUUUAGAUCGGUUUAAAUCGUCCUUAGAGUUGCUGCUAUUUCAGUCUCAGAACAUAGACAUGUUUGUGUCUUACAAUUGUCCCGUGGGAUUGUGGCUCAUGCUAUGCAUAUUUUUAUGAUUUUAGAGAAUAGAGUAGGUAUUGAGAGAUUAAAGGUAGAUUAGAGAAGGUUAAUGGGAGAUUUGUAGACAGAUUAGGUAGUAAUUAUGUUUAAGAGUAUUUAAGAAUCAUCAUGAACAAGAGAGUUUAAAGAGAUAAUCUCAUAAUUCUUAAUUAUUAAUCUGAUCAGAGUUUACAAUAUAUAUGAAGAGGCAACAAUAGGAUGAGGGUUUCAUAAAGUAGCACUAUUACCAAAGAUAAGAUUUGCUUUAAUUCAAACUUUUCAAUGAGCUUCUUCCUUGUGCAUAAAGCUCCUUUUGCUUUAUCCAGCUCUUCUCCAGCCUGUCACACGCGCCUCCUCUUCCCUUGCAACGGACUGAUGCCUUAGCUAAGGGAAUAGGGCUUCUCUUCUUCUUCUUCCAAAGUUACCCGGGUAACUAGUAUAACUAGUAUACUAGUAAGUUACUCGGGUAACUAGUAUUACUACGGCCUCUUCAUCAUACCCAACUCCUCAUGUCUUUCUCUUCCUAUAUAUUGAUCUCAUCUCAACACUCCCCCCCCCAAGCUCAGCUUUGUGAAAGUCUAAGCUUGGAUAGCCAUGAGAUCUUCCUCAUUAAAAACCUCACCAAGGAAAACCCAUUGGGACAAAACCUUGAUGAGGGAAAAAGAGUAAAGACCUCAUGACUUAGGGGAUCAGCUCCUUCUCUUCCCAAGAUCUAUGAGUUCUAAUCUGAUGUGAAUGGACUCCAUAGUCUUUUGUCUUGCAUGCUAAUUCCCUAAAACACGUGUUGGCUUCCUCUACGUGGUAAGUUUUGUGGCUCAUUAAAAUACCUACCAUGCUAAAAAUGACGAUACAUAAACUUAGGGAAGUAACUAAAUUUCUCCAAAGUCCAAAGCUAUGAAAAUAGAGGUGAAAAUGCAAACAUUAAGAUCGUGAUCUUGCUUGAAAAAGACAAGAAACCUUGCAUGUGCACAUUGAUCAAUCAAUGCACGAGUAAUGCUGAAGGAUGAAAAGGUCAAAAGGUUUAGAAGAUCAACACCUAAGAAACACACAUUCGGUUGGUUGACAACGUUUAUAAACGAAACUAGUCAAAGCUGCUAUGCGUACGAGUAAGCGAUCUAUAUAUAUAUUAGCGAUCUAUAUUAUGUCAAUCGCACAAAGACUUUGUGACCAGCAUCGACCUGGAAAAGUCUCGAUAAUUUCACAAGGACACAACAUAUAACACUUCCACAAUAAGAAUCCAACACUGUUAUUUUCAGGCAUUUUUGAUCAAUACAUUGAAACCGAUUAGUUUUUCCUCAGUGGCUGCUUCUUGUGCUGUUUAUGCGAGUCUACUUGUUUCUUCUUGGAAGACCCAAGCCCAUUUGCAAGAUCAAACGAGCUCAAAUCCUCUAAAACUUGAUCAAGCCCAAGCCCACGAGCUUCUUCACUAACCUCAGACACUGAACCACCAUCUCCAGUUUCGCCCGUCUCGUUUUCAUCAUCUUCGGGAGGCAUUGCAAAAUGUGGAAGCUUACCUUCAAUGUAGUCUUUCAAAAUCUGCCUAGCAGCUCUCGUCUCAUCAGGCAGUCCACUAGCGGCAACGUACCCACGAGACAGGCAGUAAGUUCUAAGAAGCUCCGAGGCAAGAGGUGGACGGAACCGAGACUCAUAGCUUUUGGGUUUAGGCAAAGAGAUGUUGUACACUCCCUCGAUAACAUCUCGAGGAACACGUUCAGCCACAACCUUAACAGCUUCGCGGUGCUCCGUCAUCCUGUCUAUCGGAAGCACUCCGCAAGCGAUCAUUUCGUAUCUCGAACUCGAGAACGAAGGGAA